rnacentral:misc_RNA from 1 species
ACAGUACUGCGCAGUGUGUAUAGUGACUCCGAACUCGCCCGCAACUUAUAUCCACGAUGUACGCGUCAUAAUAAUAACAACAACACACAGUGAGAGCGAGCAGCAGCAUACAACACAAGUGAUUCGUGAGAGCCAGUUCUGUGUGUGACUCAUUCGCAGGUUUAGGGCUUUGCGGACUUGGGCCUCUUGCUGCUGCUAACAUAUCGUUUUUGCGAUUAAAUGCAGUAUGUUUUAACGGGACACCGUUGAAUUCGCAAUCUUUUGGGUGAAAUUAAAAAAUCAAUCCAGCAAUCAUGAGUUAUCAAAUGCCGCAGAAUCAAUCCAGACCAAUCUCGCAUUCAAACUACCAGCAAGGUUCAUUGGACCUUCCAAUGAGCUCUAGUAAGGAACAAACUCUAAUGUGGCAACAAAACUCUUACAUGGGCGAUUCAGGCAUCCACUCGGGUGCUGCAACUCAAGCCCCAUCUCUUAGUGGCAAAGAAGAUGAUGAAAUUGAGGGUGAUCAACUUAUGUUUGACCUUGAUUCUGGUUUUACUCAAGGUUUUACUCAAGAUCAAGUUGAUGAAAUGAAUUCUCAACUAAGUCAUACUCGCUCUCAGCGAGUUCGGGCUGCAAUGUUUCCUGAAACUCUAGAAGAAGGCAUUGAAAUACCAUCGACUCAAUUUGAUACUGCUCAACCAACUGCUGUUCAAAGGCUUUCUGAACCCAGUCAAAUGUUGAAACAUGCUGUUGUUAAUUUAAUCAAUUAUCAAGAUGAUGCUGAUCUUGCUACUCGUGCUAUCCCAGAGCUCAUUAAAUUGCUUAAUGAUGAAGAUCAAGUUGUUGUUUCCCAAGCUGCUAUGAUGGUUCAUCAACUUUCUAAAAAAGAAGCUUCGCGACAUGCCAUAAUGAACAGUUCUCAGAUGGUUGCUGCUUUGGUACGAGCUAUUUCUAAUAGUGAAGAUUUAGAAUCUACAAAAGCAGCUGUUGGUACUCUGCACAAUUUGUCCCAUCACAAACAAGGCUUGUUGGCCAUUUUCAAGAGUGCUGGUAUACCAGCUUUAGUAAAAUUACUCAGUUCUAAUAUUGAAUCAGUGCUGUUCUAUGCUAUCACUACUUUGCACAAUCUUUUACUUCACCAAGAUGGCUCAAAAAUGGCUGUUCGUUUAGCUGGGGGCCUCCAGCGAAUGGUUUUAUUGCUACAACGUAACAAUGUUAAAUUUUUGGCAAUUGUCACAGAUUGUUUACAAAUUCUUGCUUAUGCAAAUCAAGAAAGUAAACUUAUUAUUCUUGCUAGUCAAGGACCAGUAGAACUUGUACGUAUCAUGAGAACUUAUGAUUAUGAGAAGCUAUUAUGGACGACUUCUAGAGUGCUUAAAGUACUCUCGGUUUGUCCAAGCAACAAGCCGGCCAUCGUCGAAGCUGGAGGUAUGCAAGCUCUUGCAAUGCAUUUAGGCAAUCCCAGUCAACGCCUUGUACAAAAUUGUUUAUGGACUUUGCGUAAUCUUUCCGAUGCCGGAACUAAAGUUGAUGGUCUCGAAAAUCUUCUUCAAGGUCUUGUUCAACUUCUCGCGUCUUCUGAUGUCAAUGUUGUUACUUGCGCGGCGGGCAUUUUAUCCAAUCUCACCUGCAAUAAUCAACGCAACAAAGUCACCGUGUGUCAAGUUGGAGGUGUAGAUGCUCUUGUUCGCACGAUUGUCAGUGCAGGCGAUCGUGAAGAAAUUACAGAACCAGCCGUAUGUGCUUUGCGUCAUUUAACUUCCCGUCAUAUCGAAGCUGAAAUGGCCCAAAAUUCAGUACGUCUGAAUUAUGGUAUUCAAGUGAUUGUCAAAUUACUGCAGCCACCAUCAAGAUGGCCAUUGGUUAAAGCAGUUAUUGGAUUGAUCAGAAAUUUAGCUCUUUGCCCAGCCAAUCAUGGUCCACUGAGGGAAGCUAUUCAUCAUCUGGUUCGAUUAUUACUUCGUGCAUUCCAGGAUACUCAAAGACAACGGUCCUCGGUAACCAGUGGAGGUAGUGGUAGUGGCCAUGGUAUUUAUGCAGAUGGAGUACGUAUGGACGAGAUCGUCGAGUGUACUGUUGGUGCACUUCACAUUCUUGCAAGAGAAUCGCACAACAGAACUAUGAUUAGAUCUCAAAAUGUUAUUCCGAUUUUCGUUCAGCUAUUAUUCCACGAGAUCGAAAAUGUCCAACGCGUCGCCGCUGGCGUGCUUUGUGAACUGGCGGCUGACAAGGAAGGAGCUGAAAUGAUCGAACAAGAGGGAGCAACUGCACCUUUGACAGAAUUAUUGCAUUCACGUAACGAGGGUGUAGCAACAUAUGCUGCUGCUGUACUAUUCCGUAUGAGCGACGAUAAACCACAAGAUUAUAAAAAACGCUUAUCCCUUGAACUAACUAAUUCUCUGUCGUGUCGCGAGGAUAACAACAUGUGGAAUAACGCCGAUUUUGGGAUGGGCCCUGAUUUACAGGACAUGCUGAACUGUGGUAACGAUCAAACCUACGAGGGCAUGUAUGGGCAUCAAGGACCACCAAGUAUACGUAGCAAUCACGGGCAAUUGUACAAUCCUCAGGUUUAACCAAUGGAUUAAAUAAUAAGUAAAAGGCUAUCAGCAAUAUCUCGCAGAGUUACAUCCUAGGAGUUACGAUCAGAUUCCAGUAGAUUCAAUGCAAGGCCUAGAAAUAGGAGGUACGUCGACUUAUGCCACUAUGGAUGCAAUGGAUGUGACUA